rnacentral:lncRNA from 1 species
GUUGACCCCUUUAGGAGUUAUUGCCCUUUAUAGUCAAUUUUUAACCAUUUUUCGUAAAUCUUAGUAAUCUUUUACAAAAAUCUUCUCCUCUGAAACUACUGGGCCAAAUUAAUCCAAACUUAGCCACAAUCAUCUUUGGGGUAUCUAGUUUAAAAAAUGUGUGGCGUGACCCUGCCAACCAACCAAGAUGGCCGCCAUGGCUAAAAAUAGAACAGAGGGGUAAAAUGUAGAUUUGGCUUAUAACUCUUAAACCAAAGCAUUUAGAGCAAAUCUAACAAGGGUAAAAUAAUCUAUUAGGUCAAGAUCUAUCUGCCCUGAAAUUUUCAGACAAAUCGGACAACCCGUUGUUUGGUUGCUGCCCCUGAAUUAGUAAUUUUAAGGAAAUUUUGCAGUUUUUGCUUAUUAUCUUGAAUAUUAUUAUAGAUAGAGAUAAACUGUAAACAGCGAUAAUGUUCAG